GCAGUGGUGGUUCUGUGGUAGAAUUCUUGCCUUCCAUGCCAGAGACCCUGGUUCGAUUCCUGGCCAACGCA
rnacentral:tRNA from 1 species